UUACAUUUAAUGUUGUCUUCAUCUGGAGAGAGAUUUGUUUUGUUUGACAGAUCACGACAUCUGGAGGACCACUUGUUCCUUCCUGAAAAUUCAUAGAUAUGGAGUUUUAAAAUUUCUUUUAGGUGAGCAUUAAGAUAAUAGGUACUAAAUUAUACUUCGAAUUUUUUUGUCUUACAGCAUGGAAAUAGUACCUUUCGGGCCUGAUGGAGCUUGCCUGCUUUGUCCAUUGGGUCUCCCCCUUCUCCCUGAAGCUUAAGAUGUCAAGUUUCAGCAGAGAACAGAAACUGAUGGCUCAUCCCAGCAGUUGAAGAAAUUGUCACCAUUCAAUGUUUUGUUUACCAUUUACAUAAGAAAUAGCAAGCUGCCAGAGCUGGCUGAU
rnacentral:lncRNA from 1 species